rnacentral:rRNA from 1 species
UACGUAGGGGGCUAGCGUUGCUCGGAAUCACUGGGCGUAAAGCGCACGUAGGCGGCUUGCUAAGUCGGGGGUGAAAUCCUGGAGCUCAACUCCAGAACUGCCUUCGAUACUGGCGAGCUCGAGUCCGGGAGAGGUGAGUGGAACUGCGAGUGUAGAGGUGAAAUUCGUAGAUAUUCGCAAGAACACCAGUGGCGAAGGCGGCUCACUGGCCAGGUACUGACGCUGAGGUGCGAAAGCGUGGGGAGCAAACAGG